GAUGAACCGUGCGAACGUUGUUCGGAAUCACUGGGCUUAAAGGGCGCGUAGGCGGCUUGCCAAGUCAGGGGUGAAAUCCUCCAGCUCAACUGGAGAAGUGCCUUUGAUACUGGCGAGCUCGAGGGAGGUAGGGGUGUGUGGAACUUCUGGUGGAGCGGUGAAAUGCGUUGAUAUCAGAAGGAACGCCGGUGGCGAAAGCGACGCACUGGACCUCUUCUGACGCUGAGGCGCGAAAGCUAGGGGAGCAAACGGG
rnacentral:rRNA from 1 species